AGAAUCAACGCUGGCGGCGUGCCUAACACAUGCAAGUCGAACGCGAAAGUCCCGCAAGGGAUGAGUAGAGUGGCAAACGGGUGAGUAACACGUGGGUGACCUGCCCUCGAGCGGGGGAUAACGUCCCGAAAGGGACGCUAAUACCGCAUGACAUCCUGCCUUUGAACAGGUGGAGAUCAAAGCUGGGGAUCGCAAGGACCUAGCACUCGAGGAGGGGCCCGCGCCUGAUUAGCUAGUUGGUGAGGUAAUGGCUCACCAAGGCUUCGAUCAGUA
rnacentral:rRNA from 1 species